rnacentral:rRNA from 1 species
GCCAACUCCGUGCCAGCAGCCGCGGUAACACGGGGGGGACAAGCGUUGUUCGGAUUCACUUGGGCGUAAAGCGCUCGUAGGUGGGCUGGAUAGUCGGAUGUGAAAUCCUGAGGCUUAACUUCAGGCCUGCAUCCGAAACUGCCAGUCUUGAGUACUGGAGAGGGUGGCGGAAUUCCUGGUGUAGCGGUGAAAUGCGUAGAUAUCAGGAGGAACACCGAUGGCGAAGGCAGCCACCUGGACAGAUACUGACACUGAGGGGCGAAGGCUAGGGUAGCAAACAGGAUUAGAUACCCUGGUAGUCCUAGCGGUAAACGAUGGGCACUAGGUGUUGGCGGUAUCGACCCCGCCAGUGCCGCAGCAAACGCAUUAAGUGCCCCGCCUGGGGAGUACGGUCGCAAGAUUGAAACUCAAAGGAAUUGACGGGGGCCCGCACAAGCGGUGGAGUAUGUGGUUCAAUUCGACGCAACGCGCAGAACCUUACCUGGGCUUGACAUAUACCGGAAAGCCACAGAGAUGUGGUUCCUCCUUCGGGAGUCGGUAUACAGGUGCUGCAUGGCUGUCGUCAGCUCGUGUCGUGAGAUGUUGG